rnacentral:miRNA from 11 species
GUGUGUUUGUGUGUGUGUGUGUGUGUGUGUAUGUAUAUGUGUGUAUACACACACACACACACACACACACACACACAUAUACACAUAUAU